rnacentral:rRNA from 1 species
UUCGUAGGCGGUGUGGCAAGUCGGGAGUGAAAUCUACUGGGCUCAACCCAGAGGCUGCUUCCGAAACUGCUGUGCUUGAGUGUGAGAGAGGCUCGUGGAAUUGCAGGUGUAGCGGUGAAAUGCGUAGAUAUCUGCAGGAACACCCGUGGCGAAAGCGGCGAGCUGGAUCACUACUGACGCUGAGGAACGAAAGCUAGGGGAGCAAACAGGAUUAGAUACCCUGGUAGUCCUAGCCCUAAACGAUCAGGACUUGGGGUGCCGCCCGUUCGGGCGUCGUCCCGGAGCUAACGCGUUAAGUCCUGCACCUGGGGAGUACGGUCGCAAGACUGAA